AAUAAUAAUAAUAAUAAUAAUAAUAAUAAUAAUAAUAGUAUAACAUGAUUUUUUAAAACAAAAAUGAAGAACAAAUAAAAAAGUUAAAUUGAACUGAAAAAAGAAAAAAAAACUAAUAUUAAAAAUAAAUCUAAGAACAGGACCACAUUGAAUGCGCGUGCAAGUGUGGAGGACCAAAAGGGGAAUUAUCCCGUCCUUCCGAUGCGCUGCGCAACGAGGGACCUAAUUGAAACAAAAAGAAACACGCGGCCUAAAUUUAAAAAAAAACAAAAGGGGCUUGAUUGAUGCGUAUUAUAAAAGACAAGGACCAAAUACGAAAAUGUACCAUUUAGGCCCAAGACGCGCAGAUCCUCCCCGGGUCGGGUCACCGCGCGGGUAUAGCCCUAUACGGCGCCGUUUUAGGGCCACAGGUGCAGGCCCUAAACGACGCCGUUUUGCCAUCGUUACAAAACCCAAAAAUUUCCCUAAAACCACUUAUUUUCCUUUCUUUUUCUCGCCAAACAGCAGAGAAAUUCUCUGCCAAAGGGUUUUAUACCCUAACACACCCAUUUAACGCCACCGUUCAUCCUUCGCUUCAAGCCUCGGCCCUCCGCCAGUCCUCUGAUUCGAGCGCGGCGAUCGUGGGCUUCACCGGCGAAGCUUCGAAGGUAAACCCCUCACCCCUUUUUUAUUAUUUUAUUUAAAAAACGGAGAGAAAAAAAAUAAAUAAAUAAAUAGGAAAUAACGAAAAGAAAAACAGAAAUUCAAUUUCACCUUUUACAAAAAAUCUUUGUACUCAGUGUUUUCUUUCUAUUCCUUUUUGUGUAUUUUUCUCCCCCAUAUUUACAGAUUAAAUGGCCUUUUAUAGGCCGAAAAGAAAAUAAAAUAUUUUGCUUGUUUCUCGUUGCUGGACUCUUUGAGUUUGUUUUGGUUGCAGGUGUCGUGCGUGGAGCGACGUGGGGAGGCCGAAACGUGCUCAUGGAGG
rnacentral:lncRNA from 1 species